UGAUCUGUCGCUGCCUUUUCUUCCUGCUGAGGAUCCAUUUUGGGGCGAUCACCAGUAACCAGAUCCUGCUGGGCGUCAUCGAGGACCUGAAGAGCUGCACCAUCUCGCGGGUGACGGAGGUUCGGGACGUGAUGGGGGUGAACAUGGCCGCCCUGCAGUUCUUGAAGAGAGAGAUUGAAGCCAAAGAAGAGGUUCUGUUCUUCGCCGACGCCACCGAUAGGUUCGAGGAGAAGAGAAGGAAGCGGAAAAAGAAGGAGAAGAUGCUGCUGACCCUCGUGUGAUCCCCCCCCUCUCACUGCGGGGGUCCCGGACCCUCUGCACAGUGCUGCCCCCUGAGGACAAUUCUUAUAAUAAACACAUUUUCUAAGCUCCGGAAA